rnacentral:rRNA from 1 species
UACGGAGGGUGCGAGCGUUGUCCGGAAUCACUGGGCGUAAAGGGCGCGUAGGUGGCCUGUGGAAGUCUGCGGUGAAAGCCCGGCGCUCAACGCCGGGUCGGCCGUGGAUACUCUCGGGCUCGAGCUUACUAGAGGCAGAUGGAAUUCCGGGUGUAGCGGUGGAAUGCGUAGAUAUUCGGAAGAACACCAGUGGCGAAGGCGACUCGCUGGACAAGUAUUGACGCUGAGGUGCGAAAGCGUGGGGAGCAAACAGG